rnacentral:rRNA from 1 species
GACGGAGGAUGCAAGUGUUAUCCGGAAUUACUGGGCGUAAAGCGCGCGUAGGCGGCUUUGCAAGUCGAGUGUGAAAUCCCCAGGCUUAACCUGGGAACUGCAUUCGAGACUGCAUAGCUAGAGUAUGGGAGAGGGAAGUGGAAUUUCAGGUGUAGCGGUGAAAUGCGUAGAUAUCUGAAGGAACAUCAGUGGCGAAAGCGACUUCCUGGACCAAUACUGACGCUCAUGUGCGAAAGCGUGGGGAGCAAACAGG